GAUACUGGCUCAGGAUGAACGCUAGCUACAGGCUUAACACAUGCAAGUCGAGGGGAAACGGCAUCGAAAGCUUGCUUUUGAUGGGCGUCGACCGGCGCACGGGUGAGUAACGCGUAUCCAACCUGCCUACCACUUGGGGAUAACCUUGCGAAAGUAAGACUAAUACCCAAUGACAUCCCACGAAGACAUCUGAAUGGGAUUAAAGAUUUAUCGGUGAUGGAUGGGGUAUGCGUCUGAUUAG
rnacentral:rRNA from 1 species